AACGGCCGUACCAUGCUGAAUAUACCGGUUCUCGUUAGAUCACCGAAGUCAAGCAUCAUUGGGCGCGGUCAGUAUUUGGGAGGGUGACCACUUGGGAACACCGCGUGCCGUU
rnacentral:rRNA from 1 species